GUGAUUUAGUUUAAGUUAAAAAACGCAUUAACAUGUCAAAACAUGAAUAGUUAAAAGCUUAAACACUUGUUAUACUUUAAAUCAAAAAGAAAAGCAAGUCUUUGCUAGUG
rnacentral:rRNA from 1 species